GUGCAGGUAUUGUGAAGACCGAAGCGGAGGACAACAGCAAAAAUAGCAGGCUGUAUGUAUAAGUGUAUAAGUUUGCCGUUCAAGGCUGUGACAGGGAUGGCAGGACUUUCCACGCCCUUCCCAAGGAAUUGUCAGCAGGCGUGUCUCAUGUUCAUCUUUAACGGCCCAACGUCUCACACCACGUUCUGGGGGACGCACGUCGGCUGGCUCACCUCGAUCACCUCCUUCCUCAUGUCAACAAUGCGGAACCAGUGGGCCAGGCGGGCGGCACGAAAGAUGAAGCCAAGCGAGGCGGCGGGAGGGGAAAACCUCCGCGGGAACAAGCUCAGCGGCGCAAAACUUCAACGCACUCUUCGAGGAACAUGGCGACGCAAACAGAGCUGUCAGCUCACAGGGAGGCGGAGGAAGAAUGGCUCCCGUAACCUAGGUUGAAACUCAGGGCUUAAAAACGGGCAAAGCAGGCUGCUGUGUCUCUCUUGACCUCUGCAGACACCAAGACCUCAAGGGCCAAGCCCACACCCCAUCGCAGGCCCUUCUCUGACCUUCUGACCUCUCAUCUUGUCUUUCCUGAACUUACCUCUAUUCCUGCAAGCAGAUAAAACCACUGUCUCUAAUUCGCAUCACCGUCCAGAAAAUCAUACCCAUACACCCCAUAAACAUACAACAAACCUUGUCUGCUUUAUAAAAUCUUUCUCCUCUCCAAAAUAGGCCUACAGCAUGGGAAAGUAUAUAAGCUUGCUGCAAUAUUAGUUUUAAGAAUAUUUUUUUUGCCCAUUGAAUUGUACAGCUAUGUAAUUAUGCUAGAUAACGGCGAUAGAAAAGCAUUACUUAUACUCACAAAAAGCAAUGUCUUCUCAGAAGAGGUAACCGGGAGCCAGAAGCAUGAACUCCCAAGAACAUUCUGAGAGAUUUUCCCCCCAUAAUCCACUGUGAAGCAGCCCUGAACCACUAAGGCACAACAAGACCACCAACCAUCUACAGAUGAUGGUGUCUGGUGGUUAGAUAUGGCGCCAAGCGGGGAUUUUUAAGAUGUGUUAGAAGAUCUUACUCAGAGAAACGAUAAUAAAAGCUUUCCUUGCUGUGGGCUGGCAUAACUGUCAUUACUAAAAUAGUCACGAAAGCUACGACAUUCUUCUACAGACUGAUUAGAUGAGAGCUGUGUAAAAACACCUGCUAGUUUAAAAGAUGACCAAAGGGGUCCUUCGGUCAUGAAAACGCCUUCCAAACCGCAAGCGAAUCAAAACACCAUAACAAAAACCGGUCUUCCGGAACAUCCAAUGGACCUCAAAUCCAAAAUAUCACUGUUUCCUUAUAUUACACACACUAUGGAUGCAACAUUACAUAGCUACAAAAACAACGGCACCAAUCUCAAAUACUGGAACUACAGCUACCUCCAAACUUUAAUGCAGACAACCAGUCUUACUGGCAUGUAAACACCAGAUUUGUGCUGAAAAACAAAAUAAGCUGUUACAAUUGAUGGCUGUGAUUCUGUACAAGAUUGUCACCUAAGAACAUCAAACACCUUGGACCUUCUUGAGAACGUUGUGGUUUGCAGAAAAGGGAACAUGCAGCCCCAAUAAUGUUGAUAACAAGAAACAGAGAUGC